rnacentral:lncRNA from 1 species
GGACAUCGAGGGACAUAAGUUCAAUUUAGGGUCAUCCAGUACAUUAAUUCAAUAUAGGAACAUCGAGGAUAUAAACCCAGUUUAGAGACAUCGAGGGACAUACCAUUAAUUAGGGAACAUAUACUCACCAAGAGGUACGCCCACAUCCACUCCACAAAGAAGGGCAAUCCAUUCUCUCUUUGAAAUCACAAAUUGACCACGUUUGUC